GACGAACGCUGGCGGCGUGCUUAACACAUGCAAGUCGAACGGAAAGGCCCUGCUUUUGUGGGGUGCUCGAGUGGCGAACGGGUGAGUAACACGUGAGUAACCUGCCCUUGACUUUGGGAUAACUUCAGGAAACUGGGGCUAAUACCGGAUAGGAGCUCCUGCUGCAUGGUGGGGGUUGGAAAGUUUCGGCGGUUGGGGAUGGACUCGCGGCUUAUCAGCUUGUUGGUGGGGUAGUGGCUUACCAAGGCUUUGACGGGUAGCCGGCCUGAGAGGGUGACCGGCCACAGUGGGACUGAGAUACGGCCCAGACUCCUACGGGAGGCAGUAGGGGGGAAUAUUGCACAAUGGGCGGAAGCCUGAUGCAGCAACGCCGCGUGCGGGAUGACGGCCUUCGGGGUGUAAACCGCUUUCGCCUGUGACGAAGCGUGAGUGACGGUAAUGGGUAAAGAAGCACCGGCUAACUACGUG
rnacentral:rRNA from 1 species